AGAUUGAACGCUGGCGGCAGGCCUAACACAUGCAAGUCGAGCGGUAGAGAGGUGCUUGCAUCUCUUGAGAGCGGCGGACGGGUGAGUAAUGCCUAGGAAUCUGCCUAGUGGUGGGGGAUAACGUUCGGAAACGGACGCUAAUACCGCAUACGUCCUACGGGAGAAAGCGGGGGACCUUCGGGCCUCGCGCCAUUAGAUGAGCCUAGGUCGGAUUAGCUAGUUGGUGAGGUAAUGGCUCACCAAGGCGACGAUCCGUAACUGGUCUGAGAGGAUGAUCAGUCACACUAGGAACUGAGACACGGUACCAGACCUACCGUACGGGAGGCAGCG
rnacentral:rRNA from 1 species